AUAAUGAUACUUCCGCCCAGCCAUAGUCUAAAGCAAUGGGGGCGGCUUCAUGAGAACCAUGUUGGGGUGAAAGACCCAUGA
rnacentral:ncRNA from 1 species